rnacentral:lncRNA from 13 species
UGGCACCGUUCCUGAGCCUCUCCUCAUUUCACCUACACCUCGACAGGCAGGCAGUGGGUAACUUCCGAUUGUCCAGCGGUUUGUGAAGGAAAUGAAGCGGACACAGUGACAGUAACGGAAAAGCAGGGAGGUCAGGGAAGCCGCUCCCAGGAGCUGACUUUGAGCUGGAGACGGAGCCAGCCACAAGAAGAGCCUUCCGGAAGGAAGGAACAGCAGAUACCCAGUCGUGGGAUUGCUGGAUCAGUCUGGCUGCUGCGCUGUAGUGAGGCAAGGAUGAAUGGAAGCAGGAGACUGAGGAGGCAGCUGUGGUGAUCAGGUGAGACAUGCUGCAGGCUCGGAUCAAGGUGGUCCAGGGGGUGGGG